GUGUAAGAUGUAAUACCCAGAUGAACCAGACUCCAUCCACUCUAUCUGCAUCUAGUGGAGAACAAGUAAUUAUCAAUUGUUGAGCCAGUGAGAACAUUAAUAGUUGGUCUUCCUGGCACCAGCAGAUACCAGGGAAUGCUCCUCAAAUAUUGAUCUAUAAGGCAUCCACCUUGCAUACUUGGGUCCCAUCGAGGUUCAGUGGCAGUUGAUCUGGGGCAGAUUACUCUCUCAUCAGCAGCAGCCUGCAGCCUGAAGACAUUGACACUUACUAUUGUGUACAGACUAAGAGUUUUCCCCU